UUCCCAACCCAGGGGUCAAACCCAGGUCUCCUGCAUUGCAGGCGGAUUCUACACCAUCUGAGCCACCGGGGAAGCCUUUUGUAAAAGUUUUUCUAGUUUCUCAAUACUGGGAGGUCCCUCAUGCACUUGUUAAUAAGCUUCUUUUCUCCUGCUAAUCUUGCUACUGUUAGUUUUCUGGCCUUCAGCUAUUAGACCUGAUUUGGAAGAGGAAUAAGUUUUUCCUCCCAAAGCUUUCUUUGGAAUGUCUUUCAUAGGAUCUCAGACCAGAGGAGUCACCCCUAUACUGUCCGCUCCACCCAGUGGCCAUAGCUCAGGUUCUGAGCCCUUGAGCAUGGACCCCAAGUACUAAGGGAUUAUAUCUCCCUUUCUUACCAGUGAAUUAGGACUUGGGAAAUAGAUUUCAACUAAUACCUAAUGAACAAAUAAAUUGCUCAAAAGAAAUCUUCAGGAAUAUUCAGUGAAAUUGGAUUUUGGAAACUAAAAAAGUGUCGUGCUGCUGCUGCUGCUAUAAUCCUAAACAGAUGAAAAAGAAAAUGAGAUUAAUCCCCACCCCCAAACCUCUUCAGGAUUCUAGAGUCAUCCAAGAGGAAUUCCCUGCUAAAAGCUGUAAUGCCUUGGAAUAUUUUCUAGACCUCUUCACUGUCAAUGAAAAAUGAGUCAAUCUAAGAAAAAAACGGAAAACUUUAUUCCGGCUGAAUUUGAGGAUCAGCGGGGCUCAGAAAAUAAAGAAUGCCCCUGCAAUGCAGGAGACCCAACUUUGAUCCCUGGGUCAGGAAGAUCCUCUGGAGAAGGAAAUGAGAACCCACUCCAGUAUUCUUGCCUGGAGAUCCCAUGGACAGAGAAGCCUGGCAAAGAGUUGGACAUGACAAAAGCAACUCAUACACACGUACAAGACUAACCUUGGCUCCUGUGACCCCUUACAAGAUCUCAAAGUAAUCCUCUUUUUUUGUUGUUUUGUUUGCCUUGCUGCAAGACUUGCAGGAUCUUAGUUCCCCACCAGGAAUCAAAUUCAUGCCCCUCGCAGUGGACGUGUAAUCAUAGCCACUGGACCCCUGGGGAAUUUCCUCAGCUUCAAAUUUAACAGUUCAUCCUGUAUUUCGCCUGGCAACUCCAGACUGAGGAGCUGAAUUUUUUUUCCCACCUGUUUCUUUUCUUUUUUUAAUUGAAAUAAAAUUGAUUUACAAUGUUGUGCUAAUUUCUGCUGUACAACAAAAUGACUAAGUUAUACAUAUAUAUAAAUUUUUUAAGUAUUCUUUUCCCUUAUGGUUUAUCUCAGGAUACUGAAUACAAUUCCCUGUGCUAUUCAGUAGGACCUUGUGAGGAGCUGAAUUCUUAAUUAAUUAAAUUUUAAAGAGCUACACAUGGCUAAUGGUUAUUGUGUUGGAAACACAGAGUUGAUGGUAAAAAUGAGUCCAGAGAGCAGAUAACAGGACCUAAUUAUUGAGAUGAUUUCCAGGGCUGAGUAGAGAGGUCCUUCAUGGCCCAUCCCUUCCCUCCCUUAUCUCCAAAUCUACAUCACUGUAGCAUGUUCUCUCUCUCUCUCUCUUUUUUUUUUCUUAAAGUACAUCAUCAGUAAAACCCAUCUGAGUGUAGAAUCCUAGAAUAAAUGGUAUGGUUCUGAGUGUUUAACCGUGCAGGUUCUGGAACAAGUAUUAAAAAAAAAAAUCCAUUGGACACUUGUUAAAAGUUGGUGAAGACUUGGGAAUUCUCAGGUGGUCCAGUGAUUAGGACUCCAUGCUUUGGUCCUUGCCCCCCACACCGUAUCUUCUGCCUGCCUUUUGCCCGUGGAAGACUUUAGUCAAAGAAUAAGUGUGAUCAGAGAAGGAGAAAUGCUGAAACAAACGAAAACAAUUAAAGCAGACUAAAUAACAAUGUAGUCAUUCAACAUAGUCAAGGACCUUUAGUUCCCUCUCAAGAGCUAUGGACAAUAUUCUGAGCCGUAUCUGUGAGCUGUGUAUAGAUACCAAAGCAGCAGGUGGAGAAGUUAACUACAGGGCGACCGGACUGCACCCUGGACAUGAGCUGCCACAAUUCAGAGAAUUGACUGGAAAGAAAUGGGAACAAAUGGGCCCUGAAACUGAAGGUUAACUGUACCUAACACAAUCAAGUUGAUGCUGCUCAGACCACUGAUGACCAAUUUGAAGAUGACUGUUGGAGAGGACUGUGCUGUUUCCACGUGUAGCCCCCCUCCCCCUGUCUAUAAAAGCUCUCACCCCCUUCUUGAGGUGGGGUGGAGUCGGCUUUUGGGUCGAUGUCCACCACCCUCCCCCAACCUAGUUGCCAGCAUCUGAAAUAAAGCAAACUUUCCUUUCCACCAACCUGGCCUGAUUAUUUGCUUUUGAGUGGCAGGCAGCCAGACCCCACACACGCUUUUGGUAACACUUUUUGCUGAGGGCUCAGGUUCAAUUCCUGGUCAGGGAACUAAGAUCCCACAAGUGGCACAGUGCAGCCAAAAAAGGGUACAGAUGAUCAACUGCAAGUUGGCACUUGACUCUACGAGGGUUAAAUCGUGAGCUGUGGCAGCUGUUGCCCUUCAAAGGAGCUCACAGAAAGGAGGCAUGUUGUGCUCAGUGGAAAAACUGGCAGGACAGGUCUUCAGAAAUUUAGAUAUUUUCAGGAACUGAUUUUAUGAGCCCAAUUCUUGUAUCUCCUCAUAUCUAGGAAAGCACUAAAAUCCUUUUUGGUGAUAUCUGCUCCUCCUCGUGAUUAGCAGAAACCUUCUGCAGAAGAAAAAAAAAAAAAAAGAAGUGCUUGAUUGCAUAACUUCUCUUCCCAAAAAUCACAUACAGACUGACCUUCCCCCUGCCUCUCUGGAGCUGUUUCUCAGAGCUAUCUGAGGUCUGUCUCUAGACUGCAGUCCUCAUUUUGUC